rnacentral:rRNA from 1 species
AAAGUAAAAAAUUGUAACAAGGGUAACAAGGUUUCCGUAGGUGAACCUGCGGAAGGAUCAUUG